rnacentral:snoRNA from 1 species
CCUUCAUGAUGACACCCGCACGUGUCUUACGCCAUGUGUCAAUGCCAGACCUGAAAAGGUGAACCCACUGGCGUUACCUUGGCAACAAGGUGAAGACCUGUUGGGGUUACCAACAGUCUGAAUGGA